rnacentral:rRNA from 1 species
ACCCGCUGAACUUAAGCAUAUCAAUAAGCGGAGGAAAAGAAACCAACAGGGAUUGCCCUAGUAACGGCGAGUGAAGCGGCAACAGCUCAAAUUUGAAAUCUGGCGUCUUUGGCGUCCGAGUUGUAAUUUGCAGAGGGCGCUUUGGCAUUGGCAGCGGUCCAAGUUCCUUGGAACAGGACGUCACAGAGGGUGAGAAUCCCGUACGUGGUCGCUAGCCUUUACCGUGUAAAGCCCCUUCGACGAGUCGAGUUGUUUGGGAAUGCAGCUCUAAAUGGGAGGUAAAUUUCUUCUAAAGCUAAAUACUGGCCAGAGACCGAUAGCGCACAAGUAGAGUGAUCGAAAGAUGAAAAGCACUUUGGAAAGAGAGUUAAAAAGCACGUGAAAUUGUUGAAAGGGAAGCGCUUGCAGCCAGACUUGCCUGUAGUUGCUCAUCCGGGUUUUUACCCGGUGCACUCUUCUAUAGGCAGGCCAGCAUCAGUUUGGGCGGUUGGAUAAAGGUCUCUGUCACGUACCUCCUCUCGGGGAGAACUUAUAGGGGAGACGUAAUGCAACCAGCCUGGACUGAGGUCCGCGCAUCUGCUAGGAUGCUGGCGUAAUGGCUGUAAGCGGCCCGUCUUGAAACACGGACCAAGGAGUCUAACAUCUAUGCGAGUGUUUGGGUGUCAAGCCCGAGCGCGUAAUGAAAGUGAACGGAGGUGGGAACCUUUCGGGGUGCACCAUCGACCGAUCCUGAUGUCUUCGGAUGGAUUUGAGUAAGAGCAUAGCUGUUGGGACCCGAAAGAUGGUGAACUAUGCUUGAAUAGGGUGAAGCCAGAGGAAACUCUGGUGGAGGCUCGCAGCGGUUCUGACGUGCAAAUCGAUCGUCAAAUUUGGGUAUAGGGGCGAAAGACUAAUCGAACUAUCUAGUA